UGUGCUCAUCCGAUCGAAAGAGAGAGAACAAACUAUGCUUCCUUCAGACAAAAGAGUAAGAUGUACUAAAACAGAUAGUUACAGAUAUGAGAAGACAAAGGGAGAAAUCACAUAAUUCACUUCCUACUCUUUUACAUUUUUAUAUCCUUUAAAUAUCACUCAAGCAAACUAGAAACACCUCGGAAAGAGA